GUCCACGCCGUAAACGUUGGGCGCUAGGUGUGGGGCUCUUUCCACGAGUUCCGUGCCGCAGCUAACGCAUUAAGCGCCCCGCCUGGGGAGUACGGCCGCAAGGCUAAACUCAAAGGAAUUGACGGGGGCCCGCACAAGCGGCGGAGCAUGCGGAUUAAUUCGAUGCAACGCGAAGAACCUUACCAAGGCUUGACAUGGGGCGGAAAACUAGGCAGAGAUGUCAGGUCCGCAAGGGCGCCUCACAGGUGGUGCAUGGUUGUCGU
rnacentral:rRNA from 1 species